GUGCCAGCAGCCGCGGUAAUACGGAGGGUGCGAGCGUUAAUCGGAAUAACUGGGCGUAAAGGGCACGCAGGCGGUUAUUUAAGUGAGGUGUGAAAGCCCCGGGCUUAACCUGGGAAUUUGCAUUUCAGAACUGGGUAACUAGAGUACUUCAGGGAGGGGUAGAAUUCCACGUGUAGCGGUGAAAUGCGUAGAGAUGUGGAGGAAUACCGAAGGCGAAGGCAGCCCCUUGGGAAUGUACUGACGCUCAUGUGCGAAAGCGUGGGGAGCAAACAGGAUUAGAUACCCUGGUAGUCC
rnacentral:rRNA from 1 species